GCACAAGCGGUGGAUGAUGUGGUUUAAUUCGAUGCAACGCGAAAACCUUACCCACCUUUGACAUGUACGGAAUCCUUUAGAGAUAGAGGAGUGCUCGAAAGAGAACCGUAACACAGGUGCUGCAUGGCUGUCGUCAGCUCGUGUCGUGAGAUGUUGGGUUAAGUCCCGCAACGAGCGCAACCCUUGUCAUUAGUUGCUACAUUCAGUUGGGCACUCUAAUGAGACUGCCGGUGACAAACCGGAGGAAGGUGGGGAUGACGUCAAGUCCUCAUGGCCCUUAUAGGUGGGGCUACACACGUCAUACAAUGGCUGGUACAAAGGGUUGCCAACCCGCGAGGGGGAGCCAAUCCCAUAAAGCCAGUCGUAGUCCGGAUCGUAGUCUGCAACUCGACUACGUGAAGUCGGAAUCGCUAGUAAUCGUGGAUCAGAAUGUCACGGUGAAUACGUUCCCGGGUCUU
rnacentral:rRNA from 1 species